CCUACGGGAGGCAGCAGUGGGGAAUAUUGGGCAAUGGGCGCAAGCCUGACCCAGCAACGCCGCGUGAAGGAAGAAGGCUUUCGGGUUGUAAACUUCUUUUGUCAGGGAAGAGUAGAAGACGGUACCUGACGAAUAAGCCACGGCUAACUACGUGCCAGCAGCCGCGGUAAUACGUAGGUGGCAAGGGUUGUCCGGAUUUACUGGGUGUAAAGGGCGUGUAGCCGGGUUGACAAGUCAGAUGUGAAAUCCUGCGGCUUAACCGCAGAACUGCAUUUGAAACUGUUGAUCUUGAGUACUGGAGAGGCGGAUGGAAGUCCUAGUGUAGCGGUGAAAUGCGUAGAUAUUAGGAGGAACACCAGUGGCGAAGGCGGUCUGCUGGACAGCAACUGACGGUGAGGCGCGAAAGCGUGGGGAGCAAACAGGAUUAGAUACCCCUGUAGUC
rnacentral:rRNA from 1 species